rnacentral:rRNA from 1 species
UGUGUAGGCGGUUCUUUAAGUUUGGUGUGAAAUCUCCCGGCUCAACCGGGAGGGUGCGCCGAAUACUGAGGGACUAGAGUGUGGGAGAGGAAAGUGGAAUUCCUGGUGUAGCGGUGAAAUGCGUAGAUAUCAGGAGGAACACCGGUGGUGUAGACGGCUUUCUGGACCAUAACUGACGCUGAGACACGAAAGCGUGGGUAGCAAACAGGAUUAGAUACCCUGGUAGUCCACGCCCUAAACGAUGCAUAUUUGGUGUGGGUCAUUCAGUUGAUCCGUGCCGGAGCUAACGCGUUAAAUAUGCCGCCUGGGGAGUACGGUCGCAAGGCUGAA